UAUAUGUAAAAAGACAUUUAAUUCAAAAAUUUCUCUGUAAAAAUUUAAUUCCAUGAUGACCGAUCCCUAGAUGAUCCCUCACUCGAUGAUCGCUCCCUCGAUGAUCUAACCUGAAACAGAAAAAGAGUUAAAAAAUGAUUAAAAGAAGAUAAAUAGAAAAGAGUAAAAGAAAAGAAGAAAUGAAGAAGAGAAGAAGUGAAAAAGAGUAUUUGUGUAUGUUCGCGUGAGAAAAAUAGAAUUCUGAACGAUUGAUAUGCAUCUCGAAGAUCGUUUUAUUCGAAGAAAAUCAGAGUACCAUAAUUGAGUUUGAUUUUUCCUUAGUGAAAGAGCCAAACCCGCCUAAGGCCCACACCCGAGGGCCCCUCCCAAGGGUCCCACCCGAAAGAAGACAGAGUAAUUAAUCAACAAUUUAAUCAAUAAUUUAACAUAAUUUGUUUAAACUAUAAUAUGCAGCCAUUCGCCCGGUAAUGCUUGCGCUAUAUAAUUAUAUAUAUAUAUAUACAUAUAUAAUUUAGUUAUAGAUUGUAGAUAUAAUUUAGACAUAGAUUUCAAUAUUUCGCAAGUAUUACCGACCCGGGUCCCACCGCUUGGAGGUUGCUGCAGCUGGAGACCCACGGACUAACGGGGAUUCUACUCUAAAAUCCACGAUCCGAGAUGCCUUUCCGCUUCGGGAGCUUCGAGCUUCUCAACAAACUGGAGAUGUAUAAAACUCCGCUUACAGAAUGCUCCACCGUCUACACCGUCAGCUUCAGGCAUCUCGAGACACGACCGGUCGUGUCUAUAUUUCGAUUUCAAUAAUCAAAACGUAGUCCUCGGCAGGACUUAAUCUCGCGAUCGCGAACACUCACGUACGUGACGACCGAAAAAUUUAUGACUCUAUUUCAACGAAAGACGUGAUUUUAUUAAAAUAGAAUUAUGAUUUUAAUUAAAAAUUUAAAAAGAAAAACGCGAUUACUCGACUUUAAUAAUAAAAAUGAAUAAAAUAUUAUAAAAAUUCUAUUCGCGUACGCGUGGCAAAGUAGAAUAGGGGACGGAAUGUUACGUCGUUUCUCAAAUCUACAUUACUACUAUAUAAGAGCAUUUUGAGUGACAACAUGGUAAAAUUAAAAUAUGACUAAGAGCCAUAUUCGAAGAGUUCUGUGGAACCUUCGAAUAUAACUCAAUAGUGUUAUAGUUGCCCUCUUGAGCCACAUUUUGUGGGGGCCUCUUCGACAUAUAGCCUCUUCUUUGCUUCGUGCCCUAACCACAACUACAGAAUAAAUUUCAUAACUAUCGUCAAUACCAAAGAACUAAAACCGACCCUUAUUCUAAGACGUGCAAGAAAACUAAUAAAUCUAACGUAACUCUAAAUCAAACCUGAAACGAAAAAUCGAGCAAGCAUCGGAAGAGAAACGAGAAUUAAUUUAUUAAUUGCUGAAAAUCCUAAGCUAAAAAUUGAUUAACUUAUUCUGUGUUCUACGCGUUGUGAUUCUACAAGUCUCUUUAUCUUUUAUCAACGACUCUACUCUACUUUAUUCUUUCAAAAGUAAUGACUCUAUUGAGACUUUUCUUUUAUUAAUAAAAUUGAUUAAUCUUUAUAUAAAAAUGUAUUGAAAAAUCAUUGGACGUUCCUUCUUACAAGCAUUUAUUCCAAUUAUUAGAAAAUAAAUUAUACAAUUUCGCUUGUAAUCGAGAGACAAUCCAUCGCGAUGUCUUCUUGCUUAUUCAUCAUUAAAAUUUGCGAAUAUUGCGAUUCUUCACUAUUUUGAUGAGAGAAAAUUAUUUAAAAAUGCAUUUAAAUAUUUAAAAUUUGAAAUAAUUAUAAUUAACGCGUUUAAGCAAGAAGACUCUAUCCUGAUCUAAUAAAUAAAUCAAAAAAUAACGAACCAUUCACGAGUAAAUCUCCGAAGAAAUUUACUCGUGGUCACUCAUUGCUCUUCUACUAAUUAAUUACAACCAAUCACCCGUGCCGAUUCGGACCUUUCGUCCUCGACAUGAUUGAGUGUCGGAGGGACUCAAAAAUUAACUUACUACUUAAGAAGUUCUGCGACGGCUCCAAAACACUGGACCGCGACUUAGGUCGAAAUUGAGGGUGGAUGAUUUGUAGUUGGUUGAAAAUGAGGUAGGUCGACAUCGAAGUUGGUUGAGAUCCACUUCAGUGAUGCACUGACUCUAAUUCGCGGUAGUUAUUUAUUAACGAACGGUCACUGAAUUUAUUUCGCGAAACUCUACUAUUUUUUAUAAGUACAGUCUGUGUGACUGUUAAAAAAUCAAAAAACUACGCGAACAAACACUGACUCUAUUGACUGCAUUGCGCGCAGUUCAUGUAAAAGCACUUAUCGUUUAAAUCGCGAAACGCGAACGAACAAACACUGCUUUUAUUUUUAUUUUAGCAAUACAAAUCCUCGAUUUCUUCAUUGUUACAUGCGCGACUGCAACGGGGUUCUGAAAUAUAAAAAUAGAAAUAAAAUAGUCGGUAUCACUGUUAUAAUAAAAGACUGUAUAAAUCAUUCAACAAAUAUGUGAUAGAGAAAUAUGCUUACUUUAAGUCUUCGUUAAUACUCGCACAAAUGGCAUCGAGCAAAAAUUUCUAAGUCCAAUCCUGGAGAUAGAUUGUCAAAGUCCUCGAUAGUGCGAAAAUUUCUAAGUCCACUCCUGGAAAUAGAUUGUCAAAGUCCUCGAUAGUGCGAAAAUUUCUAAGUCCACUGGCGGAGAUAGAUUUUCAGUCCUCCCAUAGUACAAAACUUUUUAAGUCCACUCCUGAAGAUAGAUUGUCAAAGUCCUCGACAGUGCGAAAAUUUCUAAGUCCACUUCUGGAAAUAGAUUGUCAAAAUCCUCGAUAGUGGGAAAAUUUCAAAGUCUACUGUCGGAGAUAGAUUGUCAAAGUCCCCCGUGAGCGCGAAAUUGAAGUCUGAAACAAAAGAAAUAGUAUAGAAUUUCGAAAAUAUGAGUGAUAGAAACAUAUACUUGCCUCCACUCUUCGUUAAUACUCUCUUGAAUUGUAUCCUGCGAAAAUUUCUAAGUCCACUCCUGAAGAUAGAUUGUCAAAGUCCUCGACAGUGCGAAAAUUUCUAAGUCCACUGGCGGAGAUAGAUUUUCAGUCCCUCGAUAGUACGAAAAUUUCUAAGUCCAAUCCUGGAGAUAGAUUGUCAAAGUCUUCGACAGUGCGAAAAUUUCUAAGUCCACUAGCGAAGAUAGAUUUUCAAAGUCCCCCGAGAGUGCAAAAUCGAAGUCUGAAACAAAUAAAUAGUAUAGAAUUUCGAAAAUAUGAGUGAUAGAAACAUAUACUUGCCUCGACUCUUCGUUAAUACUCUCUUGAAUUGUAUCCUGCGAAAAUUUCUAAGUCCACUCCUGAAGAUAGAUUGUCAAAGUCCUCGACAGUGCGAAAAUUUCUAAGUCCACUGGCGGAGAUAGAUUUUCAGUCCUCCCAUAGUACAAAACUUUCUAAGUCCACUCCUGAAGAUAGAUUGUCAAAGUCCUCGACAGUGCGAAAAUUUCUAAGUCCACUUCUGGAAGUAGAUUGUCAAAAUCCUCGACAGUGGGAAAAUUUCAAAGUCUACUGUCGGAGAUAGAUUGUCAAAGUACCCCGUGAGUGCGAAAUUGAAGUCUGAAACAAAAGAAAUAGUAUAGAAUUUCGAAAAUAUGAGUGAUAGAAACAUAUACUUGCCUCGACUCUUCGUUAAUACUCUCUCGAAUUGUAUCCUGCGAAAAUUUCUAAGUCCACUCCUGAAGAUAGAUUGUCAAAGUCCUCGACAGUGCGAAAAUUUCUAAGUCCACUGGCGGAGAUAGAUUUUCAGUCCUCCCAUAGUACAAAACUUUCUAAGUCCACUCCUGAAGAUAGAUUGUCAAAGUCCUCGACAGUGCGAAAAUUUCUAAGUCCACUGGCGGAGAUAGAUUUUCAGUCCUCCCAUAGUACAAAACUUUCUAAGUCCACUCCUGAAGAUAGAUUGUCAAAGUCCUCGACAGUGCGAAAAUUUCUAAGUCCACUUCUGGAAAUAGAUUGUCAAAAUCCUCGAUAGUGGGAAAAUUUUAAAGUCUACUGUCGGAGAUAGAUUGUCAAAGUCCCCCGUGAGUGCGAAAUUGAAGUCUGAAACAAAAGAAAUAGUAUAGAAUUUCGAAAAUAUGAGUGAUAGAAACAUAUACUUGCCUCGACUCUUCGUUAAUACUCUCUCGAAUUACAUCCUGCGAAAAUUUCUAAGUUCUCUCGUCGAGGUCCAAAGCACAACUGAACUAGUGACUGUAAAGGUCGGUCGAAGACCCGACUUUGUUGUCGUCUCUCGAAGCCGAGUAUCCCUACUCUGCAUUUAAGUCUAAAAUCAAAGAAGCUGUUGUAUAUUUGAAUUAACUGUUCGGUAAUACUUGCAUGGAUGGCAUCCGCGAAAAUUUCUAAGUUCUCUCGUCGAGGUCCAAAGCACAACUGAACUAGUAACUGUAAAGGUCGGUCGAAUACCCGACUUUGUUGUCGUCUCUCGAAGCCGAGUAUCCCUACUCUGCAUUUAAGUCUAAAAUCAAAGAAGCUGUUGUAUAUUUGAAUUAACUGUUCGGUAAUACUUGCAUGGAUGGCAUCCGCGAAAAUUUCUAAGUUCUCUCGUCGAGGUCCAAAGCACAACUGAACUAGUAACUGUAAAGGUCGGUCGAAUACCCGACUUUGUUGUCGUCUCUCGAAGCCGAGUAUCCCUACUCUGCAUUUAAGUCUAAAAUCAAAGAAGCUGUUGUAUAUUUGAAUUAACUGUUCGGUAAUACUUGCAUGGAUGGCAUCCGCGAAAAUUUCUAAGUUCUCUCGUCGAGGUUCAAAGCACAACUGAACUAGUAACUGUAAAGGUCGGUCGAAGACCCGACUUUGUUGUCGUCUCUCGAAGCCGAGUAUCCCUACUCUGCAUUUAAGUCUAAAAUCAAAGAAGCUGUUGUAUAUUUGAAUUAACUGUUCGGUAAUACUUGCAUGGAUGGCAUCCGCGAAAAUUUCUAAGUUCUCUCGUCGAGGUCCAAAGCACAACUGAACUAGUAACUGUAAAGGUCGGUCGAAUACCCGACUUUGUUGUCGUCUCUCGAAGCCGAGUAUCCCUACUCUGCAUUUAAGUCUAAAAUCAAAGAAGCUGUUGUAUAUUUGAAUUAACUGUUCGGUAAUACUUGCAUGGAUGGCAUCCGCGAAAAUUUCUAAGUUCUCUCGUCGAGGUCCAAAGCACAACUGAACUAGUAACUGUAAAGGUCGGUCGAAGACCCGACUUUGUUGUCGUCUCUCGAAGCCGAGUAUCCCUACUCUGCAUUUAAGUCUAAAAUCAAAGAAGCUGUUGUAUAUUUGAGUUAACUGUUCGGUAAUACUUGCAUGGAUGGCAUCCGCCAAAAUUUCUAAGUUCUCUCGUCGAGGUCCAAAGCACAACUGAACUAGUAACUGCAAAGGUCGGUUCAUGACCCCACUUUGUUGUCGUCUCUCGAAAGCGAGUAUCCCUACUCUGCAUUUAAGUCUAAAAUCAAAGAAGCUGUUGUAUAUUUGAAUUAACUGUUCGUUAAUACUUGCAUGGAUGGCAUCCACGAAAAUUUCUAAGUUCUCUCGUCGAAGUCCAAAGCACAACUGAACUAGUAACUGUAAAGGUCGGUCCAAGACCGGACUUUGUUGUCGUCUCUCGAAUGCGAGUAUCCCUACUCUGUAUUUAAGUCUAAAAUCAAAGAAGCUGUUGUAUAUUUGAAUUAACUGUUCGGUAAUACUUGCAUGGAUGGCAUCCGCGAAAAUUUCUAAGUUCUCUCGUCGAGGUCCAAAGCACAACUGAACUAGUAACUGUAAAGGUCGGUCGAAGACCCGACUUUGUUGUCGUCUCUCGAAGCCGAGUAUCCCUACUCUGCAUUUAAGUCUAAAAUCAAAGAAGCUGUUGUAUAUUUGAAUUAACUGUUCGGUAAUACUUGCAUGGAUGGCAUCCGCGAAAAUUUCUAAGUUCUCUCGUCGAGGUUCAAAGCACAACUGAACUAGUAACUGUAAAGGUCGGUCGAAGACCCGACUUUGUUGUCGUCUCUCGAAGCCGAGUAUCCCUACUCUGCAUUUAAGUCUAAAAUCAAAGAAGCUGUUGUAUAUUUGAAUUAACUGUUCGGUAAUACUUGCAUGGAUGGCAUCCGCGAAAAUUUCUAAGUUCUCUCGUCGAGGUCCAAAGCACAACUGAACUAGUAACUGUAAAGGUCGGUCGAAUACCCGACUUUGUUGUCGUCUCUCGAAGCCGAGUAUCCCUACUCUGCAUUUAAGUCUAAAAUCAAAGAAGCUGUUGUAUAUUUGAAUUAACUGUUCGGUAAUACUUGCAUGGAUGGCAUCCGCGAAAAUUUCUAAGUUCUCUCGUCGAGGUUCAAAGCACAACUGAACUAGUAACUGUAAAGGUCGGUCGAAGACCCGACUUUGUUGUCGUCUCUCGAAGCCGAGUAUCCCUACUCUGCAUUUAAGUCUAAAAUCAAAGAAGCUGUUGUAUAUUUGAAUUAACUGUUCGGUAAUACUUGCAUGGAUGGCAUGCGCGAAAAUUUCUAAGUUCUCUCGUCGAGGUCCAAAGCACAACUGAACUAGUAACUGUAAAGGUCGGUCGAAGACCCGACUUUGUUGUCGUCUCUCGAAGCCGAGUAUCCCUACUCUGCAUUUAAGUCUAAAAUCAAAGAAGCUGUUGUAUAUUUGAGUUAACUGUUCGGUAAUACUUGCAUGGAUGGCAUCCGCCAAAAUUUCUAAGUUCUCUCGUCGAGGUCCAAAGCACAACUGAACUAGUAACUGCAAAGGUCGGUUCAUGACCCCACUUUGUUGUCGUCUCUCGAAAGCGAGUAUCCCUACUCUGCAUUUAAGUCUAAAAUCAAAGAAGCUGUUGUAUAUUUGAAUUAACUGUUCGUUAAUACUUGCAUGGAUGGCAUCCACGAAAAUUUCUAAGUUCUCUCGUCGAAGUCCAAAGCACAACUGAACUAGUAACUGUAAAGGUCGGUCCAAGACCGGACUUUGUUGUCGUCUCUCGAAUGCGAGUAUCCCUACUCUGUAUUUAAGUCUAAAAUCAAAGAAGCUGUUGUAUAUUUGAAUUAACUGUUCGGUAAUACUUGCAUGGAUGGCAUCCGCGAAAAUUUCUAAGUUCUCUCGUCGAGGUCCAAAGCACAACUGAACUAGUAACUGUAAAGGUCGGUCGAAUACCCGACUUUGUUGUCGUCUCUCGAAGCCGAGUAUCCCUACUCUGCAUUUAAGUCUAAAAUCAAAGAAGCUGUUGUAUAUUUGAAUUAACUGUUCGGUAAUACUUGCAUGGAUGGCAUCCGCGAAAAUUUCUAAGUUCUCUCGUCGAGGUUCAAAGCACAACUGAACUAGUAACUGUAAAGGUCGGUCGAAGACCCGACUUUGUUGUCGUCUCUCGAAGCCGAGUAUCCCUACUCUGCAUUUAAGUCUAAAAUCAAAGAAGCUGUUGUAUAUUUGAAUUAACUGUUCGGUAAUACUUGCAUGGAUGGCAUCCGCGAAAAUUUCUAAGUUCUCUCGUCGAGGUCCAAAGCACAACUGAACUAGUAACUGUAAAGGUCGGUCGAAGACCCGACUUUGUUGUCGUCUCUCGAAGCCGAUUAUCCCUACUCUGCAUUUAAGUCUAAAAUCAAAGAAGCUGUUGUAUAUUUGAAUUAACUGUUCGGUAAUACUUGCAUGGAUGGCAUGCGCGAAAAUUUCUAAGUUCUCUCGUCGAGGUCCAAAGCACAACUGAACUAGUAACUGUAAAGGUCGGUCGAAGACCCGACUUUGUUGUCGUCUCUCGAAGCCGAGUAUCCCUACUCUGCAUUUAAGUCUAAAAUCAAAGAAGCUGUUGUAUAUUUGAGUUAACUGUUCGGUAAUACUUGCAUGGAUGGCAUCCGCCAAAAUUUCUAAGUUCUCUCGUCGAGGUCCAAAGCACAACUGAACUAGUAACUGCAAAGGUCGGUUCAUGACCCCACUUUGUUGUCGUCUCUCGAAAGCGAGUAUCCCUACUCUGCAUUUAAGUCUAAAAUCAAAGAAGCUGUUGUAUAUUUGAAUUAACUGUUCGUUAAUACUUGCAUGGAUGGCAUCCACGAAAAUUUCUAAGUUCUCUCGUCGAAGUCCAAAGCACAACUGAACUAGUAACUGUAAAGGUCGGUCGAAGACCCGACUUUGUUGUCGUCUCUCGAAGCCGAUUAUCCCUACUCUGCAUUUAAGUCUAAAAUCAAAGAAGUUGUUGUAUAUUUGAAUUAACUGUUCGGUAAUACUUGCAUGGAUGGCAUCCGCGAAAAUUUCUAAGUUCUCUCGUCGAGGUCCAAAGCACAACUGAACUAGUAACUGCAAAGGUCGGUUCAUGACCCCACUUUGUUGUCGUCUCUCGAAAGCGAGUAUCCCUACUCUGCAUUUAAGUCUAAAAUCAAAGAAGCUGUUGUAUAUUUGAAUUAACUGUUCGUUAAUACUUGCAUGGAUGGCAUCCGCGAAAAUUUCUAAGUUUUCUCGUCGGAGUCCAAGGCACAACUGCACUAGUAACCGUAAAGGUUUGUCAAAGACCUGAUUUUGUUGUCCUCACGGGUUGGAGAAUAUCCUCACCUCCCGAUUUUAUUCUAAAAUAAAAUAAUUCGUGUGAAAUAAUGAAAGAAUGAGUGAUCGCAUAACGAACUUACAUUAACUCUUCGUUAUUACUUGCAGAGAACGCGUAUUGCGAGAACUGCGGUGUGUACACGUCGAAGUUCAAAGCACAAUUGUAUCAGUGACUGUCAAAGUCGGUCAAAUGUCUGAUUUAUUGUCAUCACGGAUGGGAAAUUAUUCCCACUUCACGAUUUAAUUCUGAAAUAAAAUAAAUCGUAUAGAUUAUUAAAAGAAUGAGAGAUGUAAUAAUAUACUUACAUUAACUCUUCUGUAUUACUUGUGGAGAAUGCGUACUCCGAGAACUGCGAUGUGAACGCGUCGAAAUUCGAAGCAAGACUGGACCAUUAACUGUCAAAGUCGGUGAAAGGUCCGACUGUGUUGUCACGAGUGGGAGAGUAUCCCCCAUUACACCAUUUAAUUCUAAAAUAAAAAUAAUUAUGUACUUACGUUAACUCUUCGUUAUUACUUGCGGGGAACGCAUCCUAUGAGUACUGCAAUGUGCACUCGUCGGCGUAUAAAAGGAAACUAACAAAAUAAUAGUCAAAGUAAAUAAAAGUCAUAUAUGUUCUUAUUACACAAGGCCAAUGAUCGCGGAACGAAAAUUUUUAAGUAUUAAAAUUAUAAACCAAAAUUAUUUUGUUUCUCUCGCGUUGUCAUCUUUGUAAUGUUAAACAAAUGUACUAUUGUUUAAAUA